AGUGAACGCUGGCGGUAGGCCUAACACAUGCGAGUCGAACGGCAGCACAGUAAGAGCUUGCUCUUACGGGUGGCGAGUGGCGGACGGGUGAGGAAUACAUCGGAAUCUACUUUUUCGUGGGGGAUAACGUAGGGAAACUUACGCUAAUACCGCAUACGACCUACGGGUGAAAGCAGGGGAUCUUCGGACCUUGCGCGAUUGAAUGAGCCGAUGUCGGAUUAGCUAGUUGGCGGGGUAAAGGCCCACCAAGGCGACGAUCCGUAGCUGGUCUGAGAGGAUGACCACCCAAGUGGAAAUUGAGACACGGCCCAGCCCCCAAGGGGGGGCCAGGGGGGGAAAUUUUGAAAAGGGGGGCAAACCGUGCCCCACCCAACCGGGGGGGGGAAAAAAGCCUUUGGGGUGUAAAACCCUUUUUGUGGGAAAAAAAAAGAGGCGGGUUAAACCCCCCUUUUUCGACGGGACCCAAAGAAAAAACCACCGCCAACCUGGGG
rnacentral:rRNA from 1 species